CCUACGGGGGGCAGCAGUGGGGAAUAUUGGACAAUGGGGGCAACCCUGAUCCAGCCAUGCCGCGUGUGUGAAGAAGGCCCUCGGGUUGUAAAGCACUUUCAGUGAGGAAGAACGCCUGGUGGUUAAUACACAUCAGGAAAGACAUCACUCACAGAAGAAGCACCGGCUAACUCCGUGCCAGCAGCCGCGGUAAUACGGAGGGUGCGAGCGUUAAUCGGAAUUACUGGGCGUAAAGCGCGCGUAGGUGGCUUGAUAAGCCGGUUGUGAAAGCCCCGGGCUCAACCUGGGAACGGCAUCCGGAACUGUCAAGCUAGAGUGCAGGAGAGGAAGGUAGAAUUCCCGGUGUAGCGGUGAAAUGCGUAGAGAUCGGGAGGAAUACCAGUGGCGAAGGCGGCCUUCUGGACUGACACUGACACUGAGGUGCGAAAGCGUGGGUAGCAAACAGGAUUAGAUACCCUAGUAGUC
rnacentral:rRNA from 1 species